ACAUGCCUACAACAUAGCGUUAAUGCACUGGAUCCCAUUAGAACUCCAUAAUUUAGCACACUCGGGAUAGAGUAGUAUUGGGAUGGGUGACUAAUCAGGAAGUACUAGUGUUUUACAUGAC
rnacentral:rRNA from 1 species